GGAUGAAGAUAACUGAUAAACUAUUAUAUACCACUUAACAUUGAAGAACUUAAGAAUGUGCAAUGAGAGUUAAACUUCGAAUCACGCAUGGCAAUCAGUGCCUACUCAUGCCAUUUCACUUCAAAGGGACGGUGUCUAGAAACAUUCUUUUUACAAGGCAUUGAUAUAUGUAAAGAAUGUAUCAAUGAAUAGAUGAUGGUGGUGUUUCAGUUACAAAAGCAGAGAAAGAAAUUUGUUACUGAAGGCAAACUUGUACACCUGGGCAAAGCACUUGCAUUCUUUUAAGUUCUGUCAAAGGUAGUACUUCUCAAACUUAAAUAUGCAUGCAAAUCACCUGAGGAAUCACAGAAGAAUUCAGAUUCUCAUGUGAAGGUCUAGAGUGGGGCUUGACCCUCUGCAUAAUAAGCUUCCAAGUGAUGCUGAUACAGCUUGUCCACUUUGAAUAACAAGGAUUUAGUUGAAAGAAACCCUGAAUCAUGGACAUACUU
rnacentral:lncRNA from 1 species